rnacentral:rRNA from 1 species
UACGGAGGGGGCUAGCGUUGUUCGGAAUUACUGGGCGUAAAGGGCGCGUAGGCGGCCUGUUAAGUCGAACGUGAAAUCCCCGGGCUCAACCCGGGAACUGCGUCCGAUACUGGCAGGCUUGAAUCCGGGAGAGGGAUGCGGAAUUCCAGGUGUAGCGGUGAAAUGCAUAGAUAUCUGGAGGAACACCGGUGGCGAAGGCGGCAUCCUGGACCGGUAUUGACGCUGAGGCGCGAAAGCCAGGGGAGCAAACGGG